rnacentral:rRNA from 1 species
UCGAUACCUGCCCAGCAGAACGACCCGCGAACAAGUCACCCAGCACGGGGCGCGCCACCCCCCACCCUCACGGGCGGAGGAACGCGUCUCGGUCCGUCGGGUUCAAUCCCCCGGCGGAAACAACACACAACACGGCGCAGAACGCGCCAAGGAAACGAACGACGGAACCGCGCGACCUGCGUAAGGGAGCGCCUCCGAAAUUUUGAACGACUCUCGGCAACGGAUAUCUCGGCUCUCGCAUCGAUGAAGAACGUAGCGAAAUGCGAUACUUGGUGUGAAUUGCAGAAUCCCGUGAACCAUCGAGUCUUUGAACGCAAGUUGCGCCCUACGCCGUCAGGCCGAGGGCACGCCUGCCUGGGCGUCACGCACAAGAGUCGCACCCCAACCCCUCGGGGAGACGGGAGCGGAAGCUGGCCCCCCGUGCACCCGUGCGCGGUCGGCCCAAACAAAGGCUCGCGGCGCGCACCGUCGCGAUCUGUGGUGGUCGACAGCAACCCUGCCGAAACCAGAUCACGCGGCAUGCGCUACGCAAGGGCCAUCGGAACCCAAUAGGGCCGUCUCGGCGGCAUCCACUCUGCGACCCCAGGUCAGGCGGGAGCACCCGCUGAAUUUAAGCAUA